GGGGUUGUACUGGUUUCGACGGGGGUGUGGAAGUUUGGGAAGCCAUCCGCAGACUCCGGGACUGCGUUAUAACCUGGAACUUAAAUAUAAAAGCUAAAAACGAAUACGCUUUAGCUGCCUAAUCGCAGCUUGUCAGCCUCAGAUCGCUCACUGUCUGAGGAUCUGGCAUCGAAUUUGUGAGGCCCUCUGAUACCAAAGCUUUGAGGUAUCAGAAGAUUUAUGAAGCUACCGAUAUCAGAAGCCUGUCCUUCGGCAUCUGAUGGAGGGAAUUCUCAUAGAAGGACUGUGAUGGGAGAUGCCUGGGCGGAUGUGCCUUCGGACAGGGGUUCGAUUCCCCUCAGCUCCAC
rnacentral:tmRNA from 1 species